AUUGAACGCUGGCGGCAGGCCUAACACAUGCAAGUCGAACGCGUCGCGGACGGGUGAGUAAUGUCUGGGAAACUGCCUGAUGGAGGGGGAUAACUACUGGAAACUGUAGCUAAUACCGCAUACCAUCAGAUGUGCCCAGAUGGGAUUCUCUUGUUGGUGGGGUAACGGCUCACCAAGGCGACGAUCCCUAGCUGGUCUGAGAGGAUGACCAGCCACACUGGAACUGAGACACGGUCCAGACUCCUACGGGAGGCAGCAGUGGGGAAUAUUGCACAAUGGGCGCAAGCCUGAUGCAGCCAUGCCGCGUGUAUGAAGAAGGCCUUCGGGUUGUAAAGUACUUUCAGCGGGGAGGCGUUACCCGCAGAAGAAGCACCGGCUAACUCCGUGCCAGCAGCCGCGGUAAUAC
rnacentral:rRNA from 1 species